GGGGGGAAACUCCUUCCCUCUCAAAACCCUAAAUCACAAAAUUCCAUCAAUUGAAAGCCUGAUUAUUGAAGAAUCGAAUGCAUGAGCUAAGAAUCCUGAUUAUCUAAGUGUUCUUGAUCUCAAGAAAUAAGAAGGAGGAAGGAGCAAGUCACUCCAAGGCACAAGGAGCUCAGGAUCACGGUAAAUCUCAUGUUUGAAGUUGGCGAGCUCGGACGAACACACUAAAUUGCCCUUUUUGCGCUUCCGGACUAUGUUAUCUUUUACUUAUGGGUCGAAAAUCAUUUUGUUAAUGUAAAUGUUAACCGUAUGUCUAGAAUAAUAGUAAGUGUUUUCAGAACGUUUGAAUCCCUUGGGUUGUUUUUGAAUUAUAAUGUAAAAACAGGGAAACGUUUAUGUUACAAAUGGGUCAUGCCCAAUUUUUG